rnacentral:lncRNA from 1 species
UCAGUAUUUGUCUCACAGAGCUGAAGCAACAAAGCGUCACUGCCCCAGGGGCUUCAGUGACAAAUGGAUUGUCUCACAGUUCUGGAAGGUGGAAAGGCAAGGUCAAGAUGUACCUUCAUCUUCCUCUAAGCCAAGACCCUCCAUGUUCUUGUCCCUCUCUGAGGGAAGGCCUGUCCUAGGUGGUCAUCCUAGAGAGUGUGGACAGCUCUGCCUGAGAGAUUGCAGGAGGAGAUGAAUGGCAGCAUCUUCAAAGGGAGACCACAUUUGAAUUGCUGUGGUUUUUCUGACACCGCCGGGUUGUGGUGGUGCAUGCCUGUAAUCCAGCUACUUGGGACUCUGAGGCAGGAAGAUCAAAUGCCUGGGACUAAUGUGGGAAGUUUAAUGAGACUCCAUCUUAAAACAAAACAAAACAGAAGCAAAAAAGGCAAGGUAUGGUGGCAUUGUCCUGUAAUUCCAGCACUCUGGGAUGCUGAGGCAGAAGGAUCACAAAUUCAAGCUCAGCCUCAGUAAUUUUGUGAGAUCCUAUGUUGAAAAAAAAAGCUGGGGUGGCUCAGUGGUAACCAGUUGUAUACAAGCAUAAAGCCCUGGGCUCAACCCCCAGUACUGCAGAACACAAUACAACACGACACCACAUCAACCAAACAACACCCUUCUUGGAAACAACUAUGUUUCAAACCUGCUGCAAAGUUGAUGAGAGCCUGUGGAUAGCUGUGCAUUUAGACCAGCCUUGGGCAUGCACAUUUCUGUCUUUCAGUAAUAGCCCAUAAAAUCAGGCAGUAGCCUCUUAAGUGAGUGAAUGUGGGCCAGGUGUGCACUUCACGGGCUUCUCCUUUAGAAAUAUUCCCGCAGAAACCCAAGCCUGGUUCAGAACUAUGUGCCCUGGAGCAGAGUGAAAAUCUGGAGACUAUCUGAAUGCCCAUCACCAUGGAAAAGACCAAGUACCAUGCAGCCCUUCAGAAGAAUGAAUUGGAGCUGUAUGUGCUGCAGAGGAGAAACGUUCAAGGUGGUGGUUAAAUGAAAAAAGAACUGAAUGUGGUGGUUCAUGUCUGUAAUCCCAGCCACUGAGAGGCUGAGGCAGGAGGGUUGCCAGUUUGAGCCCAGCCUGGGCAACUUGGUGACUUAGUGAGACCCUGUCUCAAAAAAUAAAAAUGGGCUGGGGAUGUAGCUCAGUUGGAAAGCCCUGGGAUCAAUCCUCUGUAGUGGGAAAAAAGGACCUAAUGGAAGAGUAGGUGACUAUGCUUUGGGUGUGAUUUGGCCCCGAAGAGUCUGUGUACUAGAAGCUUGACUCCAAAGAGAUCAUUUUAAGAAGGGGUGGUGUGGUUUGUGUUUAGAUGUCCCCCCAAAGCCUUAUGCAGAUGAAGUGGGAGUUUCCUUUUCAGAGGUAGUUGAAUAUGGAAUGUAUGAUGCUGGUAUUAAGGGAAUAUGAUUACU